CCAUCCUCCUGCCUCCGCCUCCCAGAGUCUUGGGAUUUACAGGCCGAACUGGCUGUUGAAGUCAGGAGAGGAGCCGAGCAGCAGGCCGAUGGUGGCUAGGAGGGACACGGCCAGGCUCCACAGCAGGGGCCUGUUCUCGGGCAGGCUCUCCAUGAAGGGUGGGCCCUGCGGGGAUGCGGGCAAUGGCUGUGGGUGGCCUGGACAUGAGGGUGCGUGCGGGGUGGGCCCGGUUCGGGGCUGGGCGGCCUCACCUUGUAGUUGAUGGCGAAGGUGGCCAUCUGCAUGGCCAUGGCCAUGAUGUACACAGUGCUGUUGACCAGGCUGGGCUCGAACUCCUUGUAGAGGUCUACAAACUGCUCCUGCCUGUGGGACGCACCAGGUCAGGUCCCUACUGUCCCCACGCCUGUCCCUGCGCCCAGGUGACCCUGGGCUCCCGUCAGCUUCUGUGCACAGGCCCUGUUGCCCACUGCUGCCCACCACUGCCCACCAGGGCGUCACUCACUUCUCGGGACUGCGGGCCUGGGCCUCCCGGUACAGGUAGACGAGGCUCAGGAAAUGCACGGCAAACUGCAGCAUCACGGUGAGGAUGGUGUACAGGUUGAAGAUGUUGGGCAGGGGCCGCUCUCGGGACAGGGUCUUAAGGGGCUGCAGCGGCAGGGCCGGGGUCAGGGCCCACUGGCCUCCAGCAGUGAUGUCACUAAACCCCAGGAGCGGGGCGGGAGCUGCUGCCCUGGGCCCCAGUGUCUAUACUCCCUGUGGCAGCCCAGCUUUGCUUUGUUUUCUUAAGGGGAUGGGAACUCAGGGCCUCAGAGUUACACAGGGUCUCACCAACUUGCCCAGGCUGGCCUGGAAUGCUUUACCCUCCUGCCUCAGCCUCCUGAGUAGGCCUGCAGACCCACCUUGUGUGGUGUGGGUCUCAUGGCACUGCACACCCUGAGCACUCUUGGGGAUCACUCCCCAUCUGUCCCUUCCUUGCCUGCAGGGCUCUGAGGCUCCCCAAGCUGUGCCAGCCCUGACUGGACCCCCACAUCUGGGCUCUGGGCCCCACCUGUCCCUGUGGAUGACAGGUCCCACCCACAGACCACACGAGCCAGGGCCCAUGCCGCUGGGUGCCCACCUUGGAGCGGGAGAUGAAGAGGAAGCAGCCGGCCAGCAGCAGCCCCUGCAGUGUGGCCUGGAAGUCGCUGAACUUGACACCCUCCAGGUAGAGGACGCUCUGGCUGUAGGCCAGGAUGAGGGCGUUGAGCGCCAGGAUCUUGAACAUCUGCAGCGUGGUCACCAGAGUGCAGCGGCCUUGCUUGAUCACGUGGCAGACUGGGGCGACAGUGGGGAGUGUGGGAGCGGCCGUCGGGCGCGGGGCGCGGGGCGGAGGGCGGCGAGGGGCACUCACUGCACUGGAUGGACGAGAGCUUGGAGGUGAAGGGCGCGGCGAUGCUGGCGUCACCCAGCUUCACGAUGGGCGUGCUCUCGUCCUCCAGGUCGCGCAGCACCUGGCUCAGGCGGUCCUGCGGGCAGAGCAGGGUCAGCCUGACGGAGGCAGAGAGGUGCCACCAUCCCAUGCCUGCCCGACUCACCCUCUGUGAGGCUGGCUGCUCCUCGAGGGGUGGGAGCCCUGACCUCUGCCUGGCCGUCCUGGAGCUGCCCCUGCUGCCGCUGUUGCUCAGGACAGGGCUGUCCCGGGCGGGCCGCCGCCGCCGCUCCACGAGCCGCUCAGGGGCAUUGGCCAGCAGCGCCACCCCUAGAGGGACGGGCGGGGCAGCGUGCAGGCUCAGCAAGGUCGCAGCCGCUCCCUGAGCCCCAGCUCGGCCCAACCUCCCUGCCGCCGACCUUUCCAAAGGAGCCCAGAUGGGCAGUGCCCAGAGUGCUGUGCACCAGCUACUGAGGAAAGCAGGAGAUACACAAGGCGCAACACACCAAACGAGAAGCCCAACAGUCGGGGUUAAAGGUAUGCUGGCUUCCAGAGACUGACGGCUCCGAGCCUAAGUCUAGGAGGCAGGAAAGGCUUCACUAAUGCUCCCGCAAACACAGCAGCCAAUGCUGGAAACGCACAAAAACAGGUCUUUGCGAGCAGCGGGCUGGUGGCGGUGCUCCCGGGGAUGGAUGAGAGGGGCCCUGGCACCGAGGGCAGAGCGGCCCUUCCAUGUUACAUUUUCAGCUGGUCUUGCUACAUCUCCCAGAUGGGACGCGAAUGUGUGAUCCUCCUGCCUCAGCCUAAGUGCUGGGUCGCAGGUGUGGUGCUGUGUGAGGCCUCCUGACCACAGCCCCAGGCCGCGAACCACGGGCCGCGGGCUCAGAUGCCGGGUUUCCGAGGCCACCUCUCCCGAGACACUUGCGUCCCUCUGUGACUCUGCAGCCCUCUGAGCCCCCUCCCGUCCCCUGCACUCCUUGCUCACAGGAACUGCUGCCCCCACAACUGUCCCUGCGCCACUAGAGCCACGUCUGUGCUCGGGCAGCGACGUCCCCGUGCGGCUCACCCACGUCAGCAUGCUUGAGGGCGCCCACGUCGUUGGUGCCAUCUCCGCACAUGAGCGUCACGUAGCCCAGUUCCUUCAGGCUGGUGAUGACGAACUCCUGUGGGCAGAUGGGCUGAAUGGGGACCUGUGCCCGUCCCAGGCCCCAGGCCCCGCCUGGCUCCACACGCACCUUCUGCUUGGGGGCCACACGGGCGAACACCUGCACGUGGGGAAUGAGGUGCAGCAGCUGCUGGGGGUCGCUGGCCUGCAGGUGGGCCAGGCAGGCCCGCCCCGUGAGGCAUAGGGCGUGUUCCCGCGCCAGUGCCUUGGGCGAGCCAGGGGCCAGGGGCAGUGCAAUGCUGCCGGUCGAUGGAGUGCCAUGUGCACGGACCACCUGGGGACAGCACUGGGUCAUGGACAGCUGCUGGCUGCUGUCCUGUGCACUGGCUGCUUGGUAACACCCUCCUGCAUGGACUGCAGCCCUGCCAGUGCCCGCCCUGCUCCAGGCACCCACAGAACCCACAGGCACAGCUGAGGCACCGAAGCUAGUGCCUGACACCUCGUGCAAGGCUGCCUGGCAGGAGGGACGCCAGCCUCCUUCGGCUCUGGUCCUGGCUGUUUAGCUGCAUUGGCUCUGCCUGCUGGUCCCCAGCUGGGAGGCUGCAAAUGCCACCCUGGCCGGGUCCUCCUUGCACCUCCAUCCCACCUGGCCCUGUAAACAUUUGCCACCUGCAGCCCAGGAUGCCCCGUUUUGUGUCCCUGCUCAGGACCCCCACUGCCAGGUCCUGCAUGGAAUGGAGCCCUGCCACAGUAACAGCUAGUGCCCGGGGAAGGCGGGUUCCCGCCUGCAGCCUGCUUCUGUCCACAGAGCAGGGCCCCACUGCGGACUCAGAGCUGCUUCCUGCCUGGGUGUGGGCGAGACAGGCUGUCCAGGGCAGCUUGGAAUGUGUGUGGGGCAUGCUGGGGAGCCACACAGGGUGCUUGGCAGAGGUGCUGCCGUCGGUGCUGAAGGAGUGGAGUGCCGGGCACCCUGCUGGGCCCAGGAGCCAGUGUGGUUGGAGCAGUGCUGCCAAGGAUGGGCAGGGACCCCAGGCUGGCAUGACGACUGGCGUCCUGACACCACAGAUCGGGAGCCAGUGACCCACAUCUGAGGGGCAGGGGGUGAGGCCGGCCCGUGGGCAGGAGCUGUCACUGGAGCAGUACCCAGCACCCCUCCUCCCCACCCUGCAGGGCUCACCCUUCUCUGAGGGGGGGUGCAGGAUGAGCGUGUGGGCCUUCUCAAUGAAGCGCAGCUCCUGGGCCACGUGGCAGGCGGUGAGCGGGUUGUCCCCCGUGAUCAUGACCACCUUGGGGACAGGGAUGGGGCUCAGCAGGGCAGACCCAGAGCCACCCCGACCCAGGGUGCCCGAUGCACACAGCACGGGGGCUGUGGCCCCGAGAGCCCACACUGCCUAUUCUUCCCUAGCCCCAGCCUCGGUUCUCUCUGGCAGGAGGUGGUCCAGGGUGCUGGGUGACAGGCCCCGGCUCCUGGGAUGCUGGAGGACCUGUGGAGGUGACAUAGCAGGAGCCUGUACUAUGGGUCCCCACCAUUCCCUGCCCCAGGGAGCGAGCACUUCUGCUACGACUGGCCCGGCUGCGACUUGUAGUCUCCUCACUGUCCAGAGCACGAGGCUGGCACUGUCCCCGGCUGCCCCUUCCUGCUCGGGCCUGUACCCGAUGUGAUGCAUUCUGGAUCUCCCGGAUCACGGCCUUGGAGUCGGCCUUCAGGGGGCAGGAGACCACAAUGAAGCCGACGAACUUUAGGCUGCACUCCAGGGCCUCCCGUUUGACCUCCCGGGCCUGUGAACAGACGGGCGCCUCAGCGCACGUCCCUCCUCCCGCCAGACCCUGCUCUGCACCCCCCAUGGGUCAGGAGGGAGAGAGGCAGGUAGGGGCCAGGCACCCCGAUCAUGCCUCUCCCUCCCGGCUGUGGCACUGUCCUUCAGGGAGCUGAUGACCCUUACCCCCACCACAGCAGGGACAAUGUGGCAAAAGCCCCAGGUGCAGGGGGUCACGUGGUUCCAGGGAGACAGGUGAGCAGGUGGGGCAUGGUACCAGAGGACCGCAUGUGGAGGGGGCGCCCUCAGACA
rnacentral:lncRNA from 1 species